CUCCUUCCUCUUUGCCAUUUUUGGUACCACAGGAAAAGGUCUAGAAAAGACUUCUAACAGCUCACACUCCUUAAGGGACUCAGAAGAAGGCACAGUGGCUCAUAUCUGUACGACCAGCUACUUGGAAGAUUGAGGAGGGAGUAUCCCUUGAGUCCAGGAGUUCCGAUCAGAUUGAGCAAUAUAAAGAGACCCCGUCACAAAACAAAAUAAACAAGAAAAAAUUUAAUUUGUAUUUAUGGGAUGGAAAAAUUCUAUAAAGAGAAAAUUCCACCUCCUCUACUGUUAGUGGUGAAGCUCACAUAAGAAAGAGCCAGCUGAGAGUCUGUCAAGGGGAGACCCAAAACCAGAGAAACUCCUUUUCUUCUUUGUCUCAAUCACAUCAUUUUCUAGGGACACCAAUUCAUCAAGAAGCAAGAGUUUUGCUGUCAGUUCCUCCUGCAUUCAUUCUUCCUGCUGCCUUGUGAAGAAGGUGCCUUGCUUCCCCUUUGCCUUCCACCAUGAUUGUAAGUUUAACGAGGACUCCCCAGCCAUGCAGAACUGUUCACAACCUUGAAUGGCAUGUUGGCAAUAAAAAGAAGACAAUAAAAAACUACCGAUUUUCUUGAU
rnacentral:lncRNA from 10 species